rnacentral:tRNA from 1 species
AGGUUUUUAUUUUAGAUUUGAAAUCUGUUAGAGAAGUAUAUACUUCAAAAAUCUA